AUUGAACGCUGGCGGCGUGCUUAACACAUGCAAGUCGUGCGGUAACAGGCGUAGCAAUACGUGCUGACGAGCGGCGAACGGGUGCGUAAUACAUGGGAAUCUGCCCUUUAGUGGGGAAUAACCCGGCGAAAGCCGGGCUAAUGCCGCAUAAGAUCUCCGGAUGAAAGCGGGGGACCGUAAGGCCUCGCGCUGAUGGAUGAGCCCAUGUCGGAUUAGCUAGUUGGUGAGGUAACGGCUCACCAAGGCGACGAUCCGUAGCUGGUCUGAGAGGACGGCCAGCCACACUGGGACUGAGACACGGCCCAGACUCCUACGGGAGGCAGCAGUGGGGAAUAUUGGACAAUGGGGGAAACCCUGAUCCAGCGACGCCGCGUGUGUGAAGAAGGCCUGCGGGUUGUAAAGC
rnacentral:rRNA from 1 species